rnacentral:RNase_P_RNA from 2 species
GGAAGGGGAAGAGAUGGCCGCUCCUCAUCACCGCCCGUCAGGGGAGGUGGUCGGGGGGAGGAAAGUCCGAGCUCCACAGGGCAGGGUGGUCCGUAACGCGGACUGCCCCCCGUGAAGCGGCGGCUACGCCUGCUUCACAGGGGAAAAGGAAAGUGCCACAGAAAAGAUACCGUCCCGCCUUUGGCGGGAUAAGGGUGAAAAGGCGAGGCAAGAGCUCACCAGUGCACCGAGUGAUCGGAGCAGCUUGGUAAACCCCACCCGGAGCAAGACCAAAUAGGUCCCGCUUCCUUCCCGUGAAAACGAGGAAGAUGAGAAAAGCCCAUUCGAAUCUAUUCCGUAAAACGGAAUAAAGGCGGGACGGGUAAGGUCGCUUGAGGUCUUGAGCAAUCAGGAUCCCAGAUAAAUGGCCAUCAUCCCGGCUUCCCCUGAACGGGAAGCCGGGAUACAGAACUCGGCUUACGGUCCCCUUCGAAUC